UAAACGCGUAGGUAACCUGCCCGGUAGUGGGGGAUAACUAUUGGAAACGAUAGCUAAUACCGCAUAAUAACAGUUGUUGCAUGACAACUGUUUGAAAGGUGCAAUUGCAUCACUACCAGAUGGACCUGCGUUGUAUUAGCUAGUUGGUGGGGUAACGGCUCACCAAGGCGACGAUACAUAGCCGACCUGAGAGGGUGAUCGGCCACACUGGGACUGAGACACGGCCCAG
rnacentral:rRNA from 1 species